AGUGAACGCUGGCGGUAGGCCUAACACAUGCAAGCCGAACGGCAGCACAGUAAGAGCUUGCUCUUACGGGUGGCGAGUGGCGGACGGGUGAGGAAUACAUCGGAAUCUACUUUUUCGUGGGGGAUAACGUAGGGAAACUUACGCUAAUACCGCAUACGACCUACGGGUGAAAGCAGGGGAUCUUCGGACCUUGCGCGAUUGAAUGAGCCGAUGUCGGAUUAGCUAGUUGGCGGGGUAAAGGCCCACCAAGGCGACGAUCCGUAGCUGGUCUGAGAGGAUGAUCAGCCACACUGGAACUGAGACACGGUCCAGACUCCUACGGGAGGCAGCAGUGGGGAAUAUUGGACAGUGGGCGCAAGCCUGAUCCAGCCAUACCGCGUGGGUGAAGAAGGCCUUCGGGUUGUAAAGCCCUUUUGUUGGGAAAGAAAAGCAGCAGGUUAAUACCCCGCUGUUCUGACGGUACCCAAAGAAUAAGCACCGGCUAACUUCGU
rnacentral:rRNA from 1 species